rnacentral:lncRNA from 1 species
AGGGGUCUUCGGUAUUCAAAAAAAAGCAAAAAAUCUACGCCCGUGGGGUGAAUGUUGGCUACAUUCAAUGGCCCUUUCGUUUGUUUGACGGUAGAGCUUUCAAAAGUUCAUUUCUUUUGGUAUGUAAAGCAUAGCACAGUUUUCUAUUUAUAUACUCUACUUUGAAGCAGUUGUCCAUACAUUUGCAUCUACAGCCACAUGCGCAUAAUAAUCUACUUGGGUCUAAAAUAAGCUGUUUAUUUAUUACUAAGCUGGUUAGGUUAAAGCAUUUAUCACAGUUUUUAAUGCUACGAAGAAAGCAG